UACAGAGGGUGCUAGCGUUGUUCGGAAUCAUUGGGCGUAAAGGGCGUGUAGGCGGUUUGUUAAGUCAUGUGUGAAAUCCCUCGGCUCAACCGGGGAACGACGCAUGAAACUGGCAAGCUAGAGUACCAAAGAGGGGGGUGGAAUUCCCGGUGUAGCAGUGGAAAUGCGUAGAGAUCGGGAGGAACAUCUGUGGCGAAGGCGACUACCUGGACCAGCACUGACACUGAGGCACGAAAGCGUGGGGAGCAAACAGGA
rnacentral:rRNA from 1 species